rnacentral:rRNA from 1 species
CAAUAGCGUAUAUUAAAGUUGUUGCAGUUAAAAAAGCUCGUAGUUGGAUUUCUACCGAAGAUAGCCGGUCGGGUCUUCGACCUUGUAUCUGGUUUUGUCUUUGGUAUCCUCAUAGGGAACGUUUCUGCGCUUUAUUGCGUGGUGCGGUAUCUAUGACUUUUACUUUGAGGAAAUUAGAGUGUUCACGGCAGGCAAACGCCUUGAAUAUAUUAGCAUGGAAUAAUAACAUAGGAUCUUCGUCCUAUUUUGUUGGUUUCUAGGGCUAAGAUAAUGAUUAAUAGGGAUAAUUGGGGGCAUCUGUAUCAACGCGUCAGAGGUGGAAUUCUUGGAUUGCGUUGCGACAAACUACUGCGAAAGCAUUUGCCAAGGAUGUUUUCAUUGA